rnacentral:rRNA from 1 species
UAAUACGGAGGGUGCGAGCGUUGUCCGGAAUCACUGGGCGUAAAGGGCGCGUAGGUGGCGUCGCAAGUCAACGGUGAAAGCUCGACGCUCAACGUCGAGUCGGCCGUCGAUACUGCGAGGCUGGAGCACUGUAGAGGCAGAUGGAAUUCCGGGUGUAGCGGUGGAAUGCGUAGAGAUCCGGAAGAACACCGGUGGCGAAGGCGGUCUGCUGGGCAGUUGCUGACACUGAGGCGCGACAGCGUGGGGAGCAAACAGAUUAGAUACCCUGGUAGUCCACGCCGUAAACGAUGGGCACUAGGUGCUUGGGGGAGCGACCCCCUGAGUGCCGACGCUAACGCAUUAAGUGCCCCGCCUGGGGAGUACGGCCGCAAGGCU